GGGAAGGACGCGGCCACCUCCACCCCGGAAUGGGACCCGCCCAGCUCCCGCCCACCCCGGAAGAGGGCCGGGCACAGCCGCGCCCAUCCCGGAAAGGACUUGGUCCGGCUCCCCCCCGCUCCAGGUUAGCUGACGGGUCAGCGUCCGCUGGAGCGCUGGGGAGGGAAAGGGGUGCCGGCGGGGGACGGGGUCGGGGCCCCGGACCGCGGGGAGAGGCAUCCUCCCCCGCCCCGGGGAGGGACCCCUCUCCGUCUGCGCGCAGAUCGCUGAUGCCGUGUGAGCCCGGCGCGGGAAGCCUCUAGGAGCCGGAGGUCACGGUCCGGGCACCGGCCGCCGGCUCCUCGCGAGUUCGCGAAGCACGUUUGCACUCCAGCAUGUGCGCAGGUUUGAGUAUCUUCAGUUAAACUAGAAAUACCAUUUUAGAAAAAAAAUAUUUACACUCCAAAGAGUAACUGAAACAACCAAGAUUCUUCAAUGUAUCUUCAAAAUUAAGCACUUUUUCAUUAGUGGUAUAUGUA